rnacentral:rRNA from 1 species
UACAGAGGUGGCAAGCGUUGUUCGGAAUUACUGGGCGUAAAGGGCGCGUAGGCGGCCUGAUAAGUAGGGGGUGAAAUCCUGCGGCUUAACCGCAGGGCUGCCUUCUAAACUGUCAGGCUCGAGCACAGUAGAGGCAGGUGGAAUUCCCGGUGUAGCGGUGGAAUGCGUAGAUAUUGGGAGGAACACCGGUGGCGAAGGCGGCCCCCUGGACCGGUACUGACGCUGAGGCGCGAAAGCGUGGGUAGCAAACGGG